AUUGAACGCUGGCGGCAGGCUUAACACAUGCAAGUCGAGCGGGGGAGGUUGCUUCGGUAACUGACCUAGCGGCGGACGGGUGAGUAUGCUUAGGAAUCUGCCUAUUAGUGGGGGACAACAUUCCGAAAGGGAUGCUAAUACCGCAUACGCCCUACGGGGGAAAGCAGGGGAUCUUCGGACCUUGCGCUAAUAGAUGAGCCUAAGUCGGAUUAGCUAGUUGGUGGGGUAAAGGCCUACCAAGGCGACGAUCUGUAGCGGGUCUGAGAGGAUGAUCCGCCACACUGGGACUGAGACACGGCCCAGACUCCUACGGGAGGCAGCAGUGGGGAAUAUUGGACAAUGGGCGGAAGCCUGAUCCAGCCAUGCCGCGUGUGUGAAGAAGGCCUUUUGGUUGUAAAGCACUUUAAGCGAGGAGGAGGCUCUUAAGGUUAAUACCCUUGAUGAGUGGACGUUACUCGCAGAAUAAGCACCGGCUAACUCUGUGCCAGCCGCCGCCGUAAUAC
rnacentral:rRNA from 1 species